UGUUUCUGAUUCUGUCUUCCUCUGUCUCUGCCCCGACUCCGCUUGUGCUCUGUCUCUAAAAUAAAUAAACAUUAAAAUAUAUGUAUAUGUGUAAAAUGGAUGUAAUAGGACCACCUCAUCAGAACUAUACGAGACAUAAAAAGAGAUAGUGAAUGUAAAGCACUUAUCCGAGACCUAGGAAAAAAGACCAGCAACCAUAAGAGCUGCCAUUAUUGUUGUUGUUAUUAUUAUUAUUAUUAUUAUUAUUGAGUCUUCUUAGAUACAGUGACUCUCCACCCGGAUUGGCCAGGCCUUACGUGGCUCCCUCCCCCACACGCAGGUCCCUGGGAGAGUGGCAGAGAGGGAUACUUCCAGGACCCCAAUAGGACACUUGUCAGCCAGGCUCUCCAAGACUCUUUGCGACCAACGCUCAUUCCACCAAGUUCCUGACCGCAUCCACCCAGAUGGCAACUCGGGUUUACAAACAUUUAUUGACGCCUACCACAUGCCAGGUUACUGUACUGAAGAUAGGGAAGUGAGCAAGAUGGACAAAAGCUUGCCCUCACAGGGCGUAGGAGGUAGACAGAAAAAUAAAUAAGCAGAUGAUGUGGUAUGUUGGAAGUUUCUGGAGAAAACUGAAGUAGGCAAAGGAGACAGGUGGGGUUUGUAUUUUUGAAGUAGGGUGCUUGAGGGAGGCCCCAUGAGGAGAUGCCAUUAGAGCAAAGAAGAGAAGAGUAGAUUGGGGAUUUCUGGAGGAAGAGCAUUCCAGGCAAAGGGAACAGCAAGUGCAAAGGCUCUGAGGGAGGAGUGUGCCCCUGGGUGUGACAAAUAGCUAGGAGGCCAGUGGGGCUGAAGUGGCAUGACCAAGAAGGAUUGGCAGUCUUCCAAGGUCCUGUUAAGGCCUUGAAGUCCACUUAAAGGACUUGCAUCCUGCCCUCAAGAGCCCCCCCGGGUUUCAGCCCUCCAGUCACUAGGACUGUGGACAGCUCAGAGCAGCCCUCUUGCUGAGGAGGUUCAAAGUCCCCUUUUCUCCAUUUGUCAGUGCCAUAAGCCAGAGAAGAUGAUUUUGACUAACCUAGGGAAAAGAAAAUAAGCUGGAAGGAUAAUGCGCAUUCCCAGAGUCCAAGGGGGACCUGGAGGACUGGGCUGAAAGCAAGGUAGCUCCAGAAAGAGAGACCCUUGGGAAUAGUCUCCUGGCAAGGACAGAGUGGUUAGGGUGCCACUACUCAGGUAGAAGGACCUCCAGGUGUUGGAGGUUCCCGUUCCAAGGAGGGAGCAUCCUACUGGCCUGGCCUGAGACCUACGCCUGCUUCUUGCUGGGCAAGGGGAGUCUCGGCCACAAUACCACCACCCCACUAUCUCCAGUGAGAGUCCCUGGGGAACCCAGAGAAUGUGAAAUGGUUGCUUGGUAGCCAACACCCUCCCCCCUAUAUAUUAGAACCAUAUAUUGAGGACCUGCUGUGUGCCAGCCAAUGCAUUAAGGGCUUUAGGGUUUGGAUUGCCUGCUUUCAACACAACACGGACAUAAGCCCAAGCUUCACUUUUGGCUUCUUAAUAUUAUCUUCUUCAAUAUAUUACAUUGUGAAAGGUAAAAUGAAAUAGUCACGUAUGUCAACAGGUUUUCAAAUGGAGCCAGAGGCCAGUAAGGAGAUGGGCCUUAUGCACAUCCUCACCAGUAGGAGAACCACAAAUGUUGGAACCGGGCCAAACUGCAACUCUUCCAGGGACUCAGCCCAAACACCUGCAGCUUGCUAUAGUGAGAGACCCUGCUUAGUGAUAGCCUUAGAAACCAGGUACGGUCACCAAGUUUAGUUUCCUGCCACCAACACCAAUCUUGGUCAUCAGAAUUCUUAGUAAAUGACAUAUACAAGCAUUCCCUUUUGUCUUCAAAAACCUCUUACUUUCAUUCCCUGGAUGGGGGUGGGGAGGGUAGAGGCACUCUUUUGGUUGCUACCCAGAUAUGUAUUUCCCAAACUGCAAUUCUGGGACCCCAAAUAAAUAACUUUGUUUUUAUUUCAGUUCUGCGUCUUCUCUCAGUUGACAGAGUACAUUGUGCAUCUCUAAGUAGGAAUGCACAAAUGCUUUCUUCACAGCUUCUAGGCCUCUUAAUUUUGAUACAAUUUGAAACCUGUGGGGAUGGUGGGCAGAGGAAUUCAAGCACAGCACAACGCAUCUUGAUAUACUGAUCAACUGAAUUCAUCAGUUGUUAACUGUGAUUCAUCAACUGUUAACACUUGCUGCAUUAACUUUAUGUUCUCUGUCUCCCUCUUUUUACAACAAAUUGCACACAUUGAUUGUAUACAUCUUGAUGAAUUUUCUCCUAUGCACUCCCCUGUAAUACCAUCACUUUAACGAAGGUACUAAACAUAUUCAUCACCUCGAGAAA